rnacentral:misc_RNA from 1 species
UUGUGUAGGUUUCUCAUAGUGGUC